UGAGGAAUAUUGGUCAAUGGGCGGGAGCCUGAACCAGCCAAGUAGCGUGAAGGAUGACGGCCCUACGGGUUGUAAACUUCUUUUAUAAGGGAAUAAAGUUCGCCACGUGUGGUGUUUUGUAUGUACCUUAUGAAUAAGCAUCGGCUAAUUCCGUGCCAGCAGCCGCGGUAAAACGUAGGGUGCAAGCGUUGUCCGGAAUUACUGGGUGUAAAGGGAGCGCAGGCGGACCGGCAAGUUGGAAGUGAAAACUAUGGGCUCAACCCAUAAAUUGCUUUCAAAACUGCUGGCCUUGAGUAGUGCAGAGGUAGGUGGAAUUCCCGGUGUAGCGGUGGAAUGCGUAGAUAUCGGGAGGAACACCAGUGGCGAAGGCGACCUACUGGGCACCAACUGACGCUGAGGCUCGAAAGCAUGGGUAGCAAACAGGAUUAGAUACCCUGGUAGUCCAUGCCGUAAACGAUGAUUACUAGGUGUUGGAGGAUUGACCCCUUCAGUGCCGCAGUUAACACAAUAAGUAAUCCACCUGGGGAGUACGACCGCAAGGUUGAAACUCAAAGGAAUUGACGGGGGCCCGCACAAGCAGUGGAGUAUGUGGUUUAAUUCGAAGCAACGCGAAGAACCUUACCAGGUCUUGACAUCCGAUGCAUAACACAGAGAUGUGUGAAAUCCUUCGGGACAUCGAGACAGGUGGUGCAUGGUUGUCGUCAGCUCGUGUCGUGAGAUGUUGGGUUAAGUCCCGCAACGAGCGCAACCCUUAUUGCCAGUUACUACGUUAAGAGGACUCUGGCGAGACUGCCGUUGACAAAACGGAGGAAGGUGGGGAUGACGUCAAAUCAUCAUGCCCUUUAUGACCUGGGCUACACACGUACUACAAUGGCGUUAAACAAAGAGAAGCAAGACCGCGAGGUGGAGCAAAACUCAAAAACAACGUCUCAGUUCAGAUUGCAGGCUGCAACUCGCCUGCAUGAAGUCGGAAUUGCUAGUAAUCGCGGAUCAGCAUGCCGCGGUGAAUACGUUCCC
rnacentral:rRNA from 1 species